rnacentral:rRNA from 1 species
UAGGGAAUCUUCGGCAAUGGACGGAAGUCUGACCGAGCAACGCCGCGUGAGUGAAGAAGGUUUUCGGAUCGUAAAGCUCUGUUGUAAGAGAAGAACGAGUGUGAAAGUGGAAAGUUCACACUGUGACGGUAUCUUACCAGAAAGGGACGGCUAACUACGUGCCAGCAGCCGCGGUAAUACGUAGGUCCCGAGCGUUGUCCGGAUUUAUUGGGCGUAAAGCGAGCGCAGGCGGUUAGAUAAGUCUGAAGUUAAAGGCUGUGGCUUAACCAUAGUACGCUUUGGAAACUGUUUAACUUGAGUGCAAGAGGGGAGAGUGGAAUUCCAUGUGUAGCGGUGAAAUGCGUAGAUAUAUGGAGGAACACCGGUGGCGAAAGCGGCUCUCUGGCUUGUAACUGACGCUGAGGCUCGAAAGCGUGGGGAGCAAACAGGAUUAGAUACCCUGGUAGUCCACGCCGUAAACGAUGAGUGCUAGGUGUUAGACCCUUUCCGGGGUUUAGUGNCGUAGCUAACGCAUUAAGCACUCCGCCUGGGGAGUACNACCGCAAGGNUG